rnacentral:misc_RNA from 1 species
CUUGAACUACAUAUAUACAUAUAUGUAUAUAUAUGUGUGUGCACAUUUUCGUUGCGGGAGGAGGGCCAGGGAGGGGUUUGGCGCUGUGAAUGUGCACGCCCCUUGUGGCCGCCUUGAUGGAGACAUGAAGUAACCGCCUCCCUUUCCCCUCAACCAGCAAAAACGGAGAAGAAAAAAAAGAGAAACAACGAAAGCCCGAAUCACCUUGACGGGAGCGACAUCCAUAAGUAUCCUUCUCUUGUUCUCCCUCAUUCCUCUGUGCCUUUGCGCCUUGCUGUUUUUUUUUUUUGCGUGAUCACGCGCCUUGAGUGUCUGGGCUUGUCGCUCCGCGUACGUUGCAUGCUGGGUCCUUUCAAAGGCACAGAAAAGUCAAACCACACAGGUUGUCGAUGUAUCUGUGUGACGUUGCAGCGCGCGUGCUGUGGGCAUCCGCUGAGCAGGAGAAGCCCGGGACGCAUAGCGCUUCGUGGUGGCGCCUCUUCCUUUGUCUUCGUUCUCGCUGUUGCCAUGCACCACCAGCGGUGAAUCGUCACUGAUGAAGGCGCGAUGACGGUGCCGCUCUCUCUCUCCGUCUGUAUCUGUCUUUCUCGCUAUUCAUGCGGCCUGAUCUGAUCGCUCGUGGGCUGCUCGCACUCCUCCUUCCACUUCAGCUUGUCUGUUUCUCUGCCCACUGAGUCUUCCUGUCUUUUUUUUGUUUGUGUUCACCUCCCCACUCCGUCCGCCUUUGUCACCGGCGCACGUCGCAG